rnacentral:rRNA from 1 species
AUUGAACGCUGGCGGCAGGCCUAACACAUGCAAGUCGAACGGUAACAGGAAGCAGCUUGCUGCUUCGCUGACGAGUGGCGGACGGGUGAGUAAUGUCUGGGAAGCUGCCUGAUGGAGGGGGAUAACUACUGGAAACGGUAGCUAAUACCGCAUAAUGUCGCAAGACCAAAGAGGGGGACCUUCGGGCCUCUUGCCAUCGGAUGUGCCCAGAUGGGAUUAGCUUGUUGGUGGGGUAACGGCUCACCAAGGCGACGAUCCCUAGCUGGUCUGAGAGGAUGACCAGCCACACUGGGACUGAGACACGGUCCAGACUCCUACGGGAGGCAGCAGUGGGGAAUAUUGCACAAUGGGCGCAAGCCUGAUGCAGCCAUGCCGCGUGUAUGAAGAGGGCCUUCGGGUUGUAAAGUACUUUCAGCGGGGAGGAAGGGAGUAAAGUUAAUACCUUUGCUCAUUGACGUUACCCGCAGAAGAAGCACCGGCUAACUCCGUG